rnacentral:rRNA from 1 species
UAUUGGACAAUGGGCGAAAGCCUGAUCCAGCAAUACCGCGUGUGUGAAGAAGGCCUUAGGGUUGUAAAGCACUUUCAAUUGGGAGGAAAACCUGCCGGUCAAUACCCGGUAGCUUGACAUUACCUUUAGAAGAAGCACCGGCUAACUCCGUGCCAGCAGCCGCGGUAAUACGGAGGGUGCGAGCGUUAAUCGGAAUUACUGGGCGUAAAGCGUGCGUAGGCGGUUCGUUAAGUCAGAUGUGAAAGCCCUGGGCUCAACCUGGGAACUGCAUUUGAAACUGGCGGACUAGAGUUUAGUAGAGGGGAGCGGAAUUUCAGGUGUAGCGGUGAAAUGCGUAGAUAUCUGAAGGAACACCAGUGGCGAAGGCGACUCCCUGGACUAGAACUGACGCUGAGUGCGAAA